rnacentral:lncRNA from 1 species
UUUUUUUUUAAAUUAAAAUCUGAAAUCCCCUCUCUCUUUCUCUCUUGGCAGAACGGAGACCACCUCGGCUCCGUCGCCGUCCGUUGACCGCCGGCAGCCACCGCGGCUGCCGUCCCCUGACCUCGACUCACACACACAGCAGGGGUUCAAGCCUCAAAUUCAGUCAUAGCAUAGAUGAUUUGAGCAAAAUUCAUACAUAGUCAGGAAGUAAUUAUCUCUAUAUGUCCAUGUAAAAAGUCAAGAUCUUUAAUUGUUCUUCAAUUAAUCACACUGCAUAUAAACACCUCACUUGCAAAUUCAGCCUUUCGAACAUCAAUGUUAAAACGAGUUUAUACACAAGUUGUUGCACAUAAAGAGGAAUAUGAGCAGUUGUAUGCGUUGGUGGUUCUUUUGGAGUUAUGAUCUUGAUACAGAAUGGAGUAUUUCGAUUUAGAAGUAACCUUGAAUUGGUAGAUAAUGAUUUACUGUUUCUGCAUAAUAAGCAUGAAUAAUAGGAUAUCAGAAGGUGCUCUGUAAAUGACAAAGAAA